rnacentral:rRNA from 1 species
CAGCAGCCGCGGGAAUACGAAGGGUGCAAGCGUUAAUCGGAAUUACUGGGCGUAAAGCGCGCGUAGGCGGUUUGUUAAGUCUGCUGUGAAAUCCCCGGGCUCAACCUGGGAAUGGCAGUGGAUACUGGCAAGCUAGAGUGUGUCAGAGGAUGGUGGAAUUCCCGGUGUAGCGGUGAAAUGCGUAGAGAUCGGGAGGAACAUCAGUGGCGAAGGCGGCCAUCUGGGACAACACUGACGCUGAGGCACGAAAGCGUGGGGAGCAAACAGGAUUAGAGACCCCGGUAGUCCCUGUCUCUUAUAA